rnacentral:rRNA from 1 species
UACGAAGGGGGCUAGCGUUGUUCGGAAUUACUGGGCGUAAAGCGUGCGCAGGCGGCUUUGCAAGACAGAUGUGAAAUCCCCGGGCUCAACCUGGGAACUGCAUUUGUGACUGCAAGGCUAGAGUACGGCAGAGGGGGAUGGAAUUCCGCGUGUAGCAGUGAAAUGCGUAGAUAUGCGGAGGAACACCGAUGGCGAAGGCAAUCCCCUGGGCCUGCACUGACGCUCAUGCACGAAAGCGUGGGGAGCAAACAGG